rnacentral:rRNA from 1 species
UGACGAAGGGGGCUAGCGUUGCUCGGAAUCACUGGGCGUAAAGGGUGCGUAGGCGGGUCUUUAAGUCAGGGGUGAAAUCCUGGAGCUCAACUCCAGAACUGCCUUUGAUACUGAGGAUCUUGAGUUCGGGAGAGGUGAGUGGAACUGCGAGUGUAGAGGUGAAAUUCGUAGAUAUUCGCAAGAACACCAGUGGCGAAAGGCGGCUCACUGGCCCGAUACUGACGGCUGAGGCACGAAAGCGUGGGGACGCAAACAGG